AUGAAAGCUUCGGCUUCUUUAAGACGUUUUACCCCUCAUGUUUACCGCACUCCUGUUGCUUCCGCCGUCGUAAGUCGGCGGCGGGAGGUUUAACGCAAAAACCAUAUUUGAAGUCUGAAUUGAUUAGAACAAUGCUUCA
rnacentral:misc_RNA from 1 species